AAGACUAUAGACCUGCGGAGUACCUGCGGAAGGAUCAUUACCGAGUACCGGGGCCUUCGGGUUCCUACUCCCACCCUAUGUUGACUUUAAAUGUUGCUUUGGCGGACCGGUGGUCUCACCGCUGGCCUAGGCUGGAGAGCGUCCGCCAGAGGAUUUUAAACUCUGUUUAACGGUGAAUUCUGAGUCUUGAUAAAUUGAAUCAAAACUUUCAGCAACGGAUCUCUAGAUCGGAAGAGCACA
rnacentral:misc_RNA from 1 species